GACGAACGCUGGCGGCGUGCUUAACACAUGCAAGUCGAACGAUGAAGCCGGAGCUUGCUCUGGUGAAUUAGUGGCGAACGGGUGAGUAACACGUGAGUAACCUGCCCUUGACUCUGGGAUAACUGCUAGAAAUGGCAGCUAAUACCGGAUACGACCCUCGGAGGCAUCUCCAGGGGGUGGAAAGAAUUUCGGCCAAGGAUGGACUCGCGGCCUAUCAGCUAGUUGGUGAGGUAAUGGCUCACCAAGGCGACGACGGGUAGCCGGCCUGAGAGGGUGACCGGCCACACUGGGACUGAGACACGGCCCAGACUCCUACGGGAGGCAGCAGUGGGGAAUAUUGCACAAUGGGCGCAAGCCUGAUGCAGCAACGCCGCGUGAGGGAUGACGGCCUUCGGGUUGUAAACCUCUUUUAGUAGGGAAGAAGCGAAAGUGACGGUACCUGCAGAAAAAGCACCGGCUAACUACGUGCCAGCCGCCGCCGUAA
rnacentral:rRNA from 1 species